rnacentral:rRNA from 1 species
GACAGAGGGUGCAAACGUUGUUCGGAAUUACUGGGCGUAAAGCGAGUGUAGGCGGUUGACUAAGUCGGAUGUGAAAGCCCCGGGCUCAACCCGGGAAGUGCAUUCGAUACUGGUUAGCUAGAGUAUCGGAGAGGUUGGUGGAAUUCUCGGUGUAGAGGUGAAAUUCGUAGAUAUCGAGAGGAACACCGGUGGCGAAGGCGGCCAACUGGACGAAUACUGACGCUGAGACUCGAAAGCGUGGGGAGCAAACAGG